rnacentral:rRNA from 1 species
AGUGAACGCUGGCGGUAGGCCUAACACAUGCAAGUCGAACGGCAGCACAGUAAGAGCUUGCUCUUACGGGUGGCGAGUGGCGGACGGGUGAGGAAUACAUCGGAAUCUACUUUUUCGUGGGGGAUAACGUAGGGAAACUUACGCUAAUACCGCAUACGACCUACGGGUGAAAGCAGGGGAUCUUCGGACCUUGCGCGAUUGUAUGAGCCGAUGUCGGAUUAGCUAGUUGGCGGGGUAAAGUCCCACCAAGGCGACGAUCCGUAGCUGGUCUGAGAGGAUGAUCAGCCACACUGGAAGUGAGACACGGACCAGACUCCUACGGGAGGCAGCAGUGGGGAAUAUUGGAAAAUGGGAGCAAGACUGAUACAGCAAUACCGCGUGGGUGAAGAAGGCCUUCGGGUUGUAAAGCCCUUUUGUUGGGAAAGAAAAGAAGCAGGUUAAUACCCCGCUGUUCUGACGGUACCCAAAGAAUAAGCACCGGCUAACUUCGUG